UCCGGUUUGGCACCGGCAGUCUCCCUAGAGUUCCCGGCAUGAUCCGCUGGCAACUAAGGACAGGGGUUGCGCUCGUUGCGCCACUUAAGGCAACACCUCACGGCACGAGCUGACGACAGCCAUGCACCACCUGUGCGGGCUCCGAAGAGCACCGUGUUUCUACGGCUUCACCCCGCAUGUCAAGCCCUGGUAAGGUUCUUCGCGUCGCGUCGAAUUGAGCCACAUGCUCCGCCGCUUGUGCGGGCCCCCGUCAAUUCCUUUGAGUUUCAACCUUGCGGUCGUACUCCCCAGGUGGCUUACUUAUCGCUUUCGCUAAGUCACUCAACUUCCAUCUUGCGAUGGAGUGUCAAACAACGAGUAAGCAUCGUUUAGGGCGUGGACUAC
rnacentral:misc_RNA from 1 species